rnacentral:lncRNA from 1 species
UGCCCAUCAAUUUUUAUUUAAAACAGUCAAAAGAGAAAACAAAACUAUGUCAAGCAAUGAUGUUCAAAUAAAUUAACUUGCACUUACACAGCAGAGUAGUAUGAAGGUAUAAAAACCACAUUUCUCAUACAGUUGAAAGACAUGGUGGCAUAUUCAUACACAUAAUGUUAAACAAAAAAAAACAUUUUUAAUUUGAUCCCAAUUACAUUACAGUAUGCAUAUUUGCAAUAAAAAAUACCAAAAGAAAUACAAUGAAAUGUUAACAGUAUUUAUCUCUGGGUAAUGAGAUUAUGGUUCGAUUUUUUUGUCUACUUCUCCCUUUUGGUUAUGUCCACAUUGGACAAGUUUUCUUUCAUGAAAAACCAUAUACAACAUGUUAUUGAUCAGUUAGACAAGAGACGCUUGGAAGAAGACAGUAGGCAGACACAGUCAGCAGGAAGUGUGACGAAGCUGACGUGUCAUGUGCAAAAGCCCUCUGCCAGCUCUAUAGAAGCAAGGCAACAGAGCCACCUGGCUCCAGUGACACUGCAACGGGCCUGGCAGGUGGCAGGCAGAACCAGAGCCAUUUGCCCAGCAGAAAGGGCCCCAGGAUGCAGUCCGGACUGCCCGCUCUCUUGUGCACAGUGGUGGCCUUUAUCCUCUUUGGUUCCAGCAAUACGCAGAAUGUCAAUCAGCCUCCAAGUUCAGUGCAGAGACAUGAGGGAGAAUCUGUGACCUUAGAUUGCAGUUUCACACUUAGCUUUGAUUACUAUGUGAUGAGCUGGUUUCGACAGCUUCCCAAUGGAAAGAUGACUGAGAUCAUUUAUAUUUAUUCUUAUAGCACAAGUAAUAGGCAAGGACGAUAUUCUGUAUCACAUCAGAAAGGAAACAAAGCUGUAAGUCUCACCAUCAAAGACUUGAUGCCUACAGACUCUGGAGUUUAUUUCUGUGCUGUUGGAGAAGCUCCACGGUGAGAGGAGUGACAAGAGAACCUUACAAAAACCUCCUGGGCUCAGCAUGAAUCAGCCACCUGCUCCAGGAGCUUAGGAGAAAACAAC